rnacentral:rRNA from 1 species
CGGGACGGGUGAGUAAUGUCUGGGAAACUGCCCGAUGGAGGGGGAUAACUACUGGAAACGGUAGCUAAUACCGCAUAACGUCGCAAGACCAAAGAGAGGGACCUUCGGGCCUCUUGCCAUCGGAUGUGCCCAGAUGGGAUUAGCUAGUAGGUGGGGUAACGGCUCACCUAGGCGACGAUCCCUAGCUGGUCUGAGAGGAUGACCAGCCACACUGGAACUGAGACACGGUCCAG